CCUACGUGAUGCAGCAGUGAGGAAUCUUGGUCAAUGGACGAGAGUCUGAACCAGCCCAGUAGCGUGAAGGAUGACUGCCCUAUGGGUUGUAAACUUCUUUUAUAUGGGAAUAAAACGUUCCACGUUUGGGCUUUUGUCUGUACCAUAUUAAUAAGGAUCGUCUAACUCCGUCCCAGCAGCCGCGGUAAUACGGAGGAUCCGAGCGUUAUCCGGCUUUAUUGGGUUUAAAGGGAGAGUAGGGUGAUUGUUCAGUCAGUUGUGAAAUUUUGCGUCUAAACCGUAAAAUUGCAGUGGAAACUGGCAGUCUUGAGUACAGUAGAGGUGGGCGGAAUUCGGGGUGUAGCGGUGAAAUGCUUAGAUAUCACGAAGAACUCCGAGUGCGAAGGCAGUUCACUGGACUGCAACUGACACUGAGGCUCGAAAGUGUGGGUAUCAAACAGGAUUAGAUACCCGGGUAGUC
rnacentral:rRNA from 1 species